GAUGCGUGCUUCUCUUUCCAUCAUCCCCCGACUGAUUCAGCCAUGAGUUCACUGUCUGCGCCAUCUCUCCACCGCUCCGCCGGCCAUGUCUCUCCGAACUUGCUUGGGCCUCUCCGACCACCGCCCUCUCACGUCCAAUUCCUCAUUCUCGGUCGCCGCGCCUCGCGUUCCGACUCAGAGUCACGGCCUUCGCGCCCGAGUUUCGGGCUUUCCCCACGAGGGCGACCGGUUCGUGAUGCCAGCAGUUCGUCCGAGCAAGAGGGAGGCGAGCCUGGCGAUUUUCGCAGUCCUGCUAAAUGGGUGUGGCCCGAGCGCGUCGAUGGCGACGUUGCGACAAGAAGUGGAGCUGGAGAGGUGCACAGACUCCGAGGACGGCUUUACCCUCCUCUAACCUUCUUCUUGGGUGAAGGUGGACAAAGCAGGGGUGACGGUGCUGUUUGAGGAGCCAGCCAAGGAGAGCAACAAUGUGGGAGUGGUGGUGAGUCCAGUUCGUCUUGCGAGCCUACGGGAAUUUGGGAGUCCUCAGUUUGUCGCGGAUUCACAGCCAUCGGAUCCAUCAGCUGAAGGUCCAAAAUCUUCUUCUUCUUGCACAGCAGAAAAUCCGGGAGGUAUGGGGGCGAAAGCAGCGAGAGCAGAGAGGUCUGGGGGACAAUCAAUCAAGAUCCUAAACCCACAGGCACUCAGCAUGUGACAUUGGGGAAGAAGGACGUGCAUUAAGAACACCUGUUAAAGAGAGACUUACCAACUUCAUGAAGCCAAAUCAAGGUGGAGACUUUUAAGAGAUAAAUUACAGAAAAAGUGACAAUCAGAACGAGGAGAUUUCACACGCACUUGGCUCUCUUGCCCUCGGGCGGAGAUGAAACGAAGGAGAGAAGGAGUUUUGGGUUUUCACUCCUCAGAGGAGAAGGAAACAGAGCAAAGGCCGAGAAGCUCUCAACAACACAACGAGAAUUUUUUUUAUUUAUGAUUUAAAUUGUAUUGAGAAAUGGAAAAUCCAAAUCAGGACAAGAACUUCGGUACCCUCAUUCGCGUUGGUUGUUGGCUUUAGCGGUGAUAGGGGAUUAAUAAGAAGCAAAUAAUUUAUU